GUAGGGAAUCUUCCACAAUGGACGAAAGUCUGAUGGAGCAACGCCGCGUGAGUGAAGAAGGUUUUCGGAUCGUAAAACUCUGUUGUUGGAGAAGAACACGUUUGAGAGUAACUGUUCAGACGUUGACGGUAUCCAACCAGAAAGCCACGGCUAACUACGUGCCAGCAGCCGCGGUAAUACGUAGGUGGCAAGCGUUAUCCGGAUUUAUUGGGCGUAAAGCGAGCGCAGGCGGUUUUUUAAGUCUGAUGUGAAAGCCUUCGGCUUAACCGAAGAAGUGCAUCGGAAACUGGGAAACUUGAGUGCAGAAGAGGACAGUGGAACUCCAUGUGUAGCGGUGAAAUGCGUAGAUAUAUGGAAGAACACCAGUGGCGAAGGCGGCUGUCUGGUCUGUAACUGACGCUGAGGCUCGAAAGCAUGGGUAGCGAACAGGAUUAGAUACCCCGGUAGUC
rnacentral:rRNA from 1 species